rnacentral:rRNA from 1 species
GACGGACGCUGGCGGCGUGCCUAAUACAUGCAAGUAGAACGCACAGUUUAUACCGUAGCUUGCUACACCAUAGACUGUGAGUUGCGAACGGGUGAGUAACGCGUAGGUAACCUGCCUGGUAGCGGGGGAUAACUAUUGGAAACGAUAGCUAAUACCGCAUAAUAUUGAUUAUUGCAUGAUAAUUGAUUGAAAUAUGCUAUUGCAUCACUACAAGAUGGACCUGCGUUGUAUUAGCUAGUAGGUGAGGUAACGGCUCACCUAGGCGAUGAUACAUAGCCGACCUGAGAGGGUGAUCGGCCACGCUGGGACUGAGACACGGCCCAGAGUCCUACGUGAGGCAGCAGUAGGGAAUCUUCGGAAAUGGACGAAAGUCUGACCGAGCAACGCCGCGUGAGUGAAGAAGGUUUUCGGAGCGUAAAGCUCUGUUGUACGAGAAGAACGGGUGUGAGAGUGGAAAGUUCACACUGUGACGGUAUCUUACCAGAAAGGGACGGCUAACUACGUG